AUCGACUCGACAUUCGAUCUCUAUCUGACUUUGAGAGCUUUUGGAUCUUCUCGCCUUUAUGCCCUAGGGCGUACGCUUACUACUCAUGAAUGGACAAACAUAGGAGUCGAACCAGACCGUUCGAUCCCAUCUCCAUCCUGCAUGAUCUGAGAUUUACUUGAGGUAGCCUCAUGGCGACAUCGCUUAUCAUCUUUUCGAGUCUCCUAUCUCGUGCCUGAUCCAUCUCCACCUGAAGCUCUACCUCACAUUGGGCUUCCACUGACAUCUUCUAUGAUAGUCGGCUUCUCCUCACACAAGAGAGGAUCGAUCCACCCUUUGAUUGAGCCUGACUUUUCUAACUUCUUCAAUCUCGAUCAACACCGCUGCAAUCUAGAUAGCUACACACUCUGGUACCAUCUGGCUCUCUGAUAUCAUCUGGCUAUCUGAUAUCAUCUGGCUUUGAUACCAAUUAUUGCAGCAGAAAGAAAGAAGAGAUAAAAUAAAGGACAUAAUCAAAUACAUGGAUCAGUCCAAGACUUACCUCUAUGGGGCACGCAAGCUUCACUAUAAGAGAAAAUAAUAAGUUCAAGAGGAGAUCACAUACUCUCAACUCUUAUACACCAACCUCUCUUUCAACAAGAAGCACAACCCUCACAAAAGCUCUUAUAAAAUUCUCCAAAGAAACCCUCUUACAAGCUUGCCGAGUCAAGAUCUUCAAUGCCCCUGAAUGCUUCCUGUGAUGCUCUCAGCCGCUAUAUCAUGCCUCAGUCUUUGGCCCUACACUCACAGCCACUCCCACGGUCGUUCCAGGAUACUCUUAAUUGCUUCUACAGUGGCACAUGCCAAGCUGCUCUUGAUGUCCGCUCCUUUGCUCCACAGUCUCUCACACCUCUUUUGUAGGCUCAAAAUCUACUUCAGAUCGAAAUCACGACCCUAAUUGAAGUCCAAAAAUCUAACCGUCGUCUGAUCGCGUCCUCAAGCUCUGAACCACCCGAUCACACUCCUACCCACCCGAUCAUGCCCAC
rnacentral:lncRNA from 1 species